rnacentral:tRNA from 1 species
UUCCUCUUAGCUCAGUUGGUAGAGCGCGUCACUAGUAUCUGUUGUGAAGAAGAAAAUCUAUGACGAGGUCAGUCGUUCAAGUCGGCUAGAGGGAA